GAGUUUGAUCCUGGCUCAGGAUGAACGCUGGCGGCGUGCCUAACACAUGCAAGUCGAACGGACUCGGAUUGAAACCUAGUGAUUUCCGAGUUAGUGGCGGACGGAUGAGUAACGCGUGGAUAACCUGCCGUAUGCAGGGGGAUAACAGUUGGAAACAGCUGCUAAUACCGCAUAAGCGCUCAAUACCGCAUGGUACUGUGUGAAAAGAUUAUCGGCAUACGAUGGAUCCGCGUCCGAUUAGCCAGUUGGCGGGGUAACGGCCCACCAAAGCGACGAUCGGUAGCCGGCCUGAGAGGGCGGACGGCCACAUUGGGACUGAGACACGGCCCAAACUCCUACGGGAGGCAGCAGUGGGGAAUAUUGCACAAUGGGGGAAACCCUGAUGCAGCGACGCCGCGUGAGUGAAGAAGUAUCGAGGUAUGUAAAGCUCUAUCAGCAGGG
rnacentral:rRNA from 1 species